UACGUAGGGCGCGAGCGUUGUCCGGAAUUAUUGGGCGUAAAGGGCUCGUAGGCGGUCUGUUGCGUCGGGCGUGAAAACUCAGGGCUUAACCCUGAGCCUGCUUCCGAUACGGGCAGACUAGAGGUAUGCAGGGGAGAACGGAAUUCCUGGUGUAGCGGUGAAAUGCGCAGAUAUCAGGAGGAACACCGGUGGCGAAGGCGGCUCGCUGGACGAUGACUGACACUCAACUGCGAAAGCGUGGGGAGCAAACAGG
rnacentral:rRNA from 1 species